AUGUCUCACCAAGCCCUCACUUCCAACUGUAUUAUUUCAAGUAUAUUCUUGCUCUCCCUGCACUCCUCACUGCUGAAAACAGGGGCAGUGUAUUUACAAAAAAACAGGGACGAUGUAUUUACUCAACACUUACUACUUAAGCACCCCCUUGUCAUUUGUCAAAGUCGCUCGGUCGUGUCCUGCUGUGACCGCAUGGACUGUAGCCGCCAGGUUCCUCCGUCCAGGCAAGAAUACUGGAGUGGGGAGCUGUUCCCUUCUCCAGGAGAUCUUCCCAACCCAGUCUCCCGCAUUGCAGGUGGAUUCUUUUUAACAUCUGAGCCACAGGGAAGCCCAUCAAGCACUCCCUCAGUGUCGUGCAAAAGGAGUGAGGCACACAGAACUGCAAGACUGCAGCAGACAGAAGUGCCUUCAGCCUGCUGUCACCAAACAUGCCACCGUCAGUCCCAGACUGUCCUCCUGGGCUGCUGCUUCUCCUCCACCAUGUCUCACCAAGCCCUCGCUUCCAACUGUAUUAUUUCAAGUAUAUUCUUGCUCUCCCUGCACUCCUCACUGCUGAAAACAGGGGCAGUGUAUUUACAAAAAAACAGGGACGAUGUAUUUACUCAACACUUACUACUUAAGCACCCCCUUGUCAUUUGUCAAAGUCGCUCGGUCGUGUCCUGCUGUGACUGCAUGGACUGUAGCCACCAGGUUCCUCCGUCCAGGCAAGAAUACUGGAGUGGGGAGCUGUUCCCUUCUCCAGGAUAUCUUCCCAACCCAGUCUCCCGCAUUGCAGGUGGAUUCUUUUUAACAUCUGAGCCACAGGGAAGCCCAUCAAGCACUCCCUCAGUGUCGUGCAAAAGGAGUGAGGCACACAGAACUGCAAGACUGCAGCAGACAGAAGUGCCUUCAGCCUGCUGUCACCAAACAUGCCACCUGUCAGUCCCAGACUGUCCUCCUGCGAUGCUGAGACAGGAGAGCCACAUGCAGAUACAUCACUGUUCAGGGCCUGCACUCUGUUUAGGCCCAUUUUUUUCACCCAGGGGUAGUUUCAUCCAACAACUUGAGGGCAGUAGCCCGAUGUUUCUUCGAUAUUUCUCACAGUGUUUAGAUAUUUAA
rnacentral:lncRNA from 1 species